GACGAACGCUGGCGGCGUGCUUAACACAUGCAAGUCGAACGGAAAGGCCCUGCUUUUGUGGGGUGCUCGAGUGGCGAACGGGUGAGUAACACGUGAGUAACCUGCCCUUGACUUUGGGAUAACUUCAGGAAACUGGGGCUAAUACCGGAUAUGAUCUCCUGCUGCAUGGUGGGGGUUGGAAAGUUUCGGCUGUUGGGGAUGUACUCGCGGCUUAUCAGCUUGUUGGUGGGGUAGUGGCUUACCAAGGCUUUGACGGGUAGCCGGCCUGAGAGGGUGAACGGCGACAUUGGGACUGAGAUACGGACCAGAAGCCUACGGGAGGCAGCAGUGGGGAAUAUUGCAGAAUGGGCGGAAGCCUGAUGCAGCAACGCCGCGUGCGGGAUGACGGCCUUCGGGUUGUAAACCGCUUUCGCCUGUGACGAAGCGUGAGUGACGGUAAUGGGUAAAGAAGCACCGGCUAACUACGUG
rnacentral:rRNA from 1 species